rnacentral:rRNA from 1 species
GACGAACGCUGGCGGCGUGCUUAACACAUGCAAGUCGAACGGAAAGGCCCCUUUGGGGGUACUCGAGUGGCGAACGGGUGAGUAACACGUGAGUAACCUGCCCUUGACUUCGGGAUAACUUCAGGAAACUGGGGCUAAUACCGGAUAGGAAUCCUUGCUGCAUGGUGGGGGUUGGAAAGCUUCGGCGGUUUUGGAUGGACUCGCGGCUUAUCAGCUUGUUGGUGGGGUAGUGGCUUACCAAGGCUUUGACGGGUAGCCGGCCUGAGAGGGCGACCGGCCACAUUGGGACUGAGAUACGGCCCAGACUCCUACGGGAGGCAGCAGUGGGGAAUAUUGCACAAUGGGCGGAAGCCUGAUGCAGCAACGCCGCGUGCGGGAUGACGGCCUUCGGGUUGUAAACCGCUUUCAACAGGGGCGAAGCUUGUGGUGACGGUACCUGCAGAAGAAGCACCGGCUAACUACGUG